ACACACAAAUACACAUCAAUGUCCUCCAUUUUUAUUAGAUGUUAGGAUCUUUCUUCAGUGUUCGUUCCCUUUUCUUUUAUUAUCAAAAUAUUGAGUUAGUAUUUAGAUGUAGAUACUGAUUCUUAUUCUGUAAACAAUCAUCCGAAGACCUACCUUCUUCAUCUCUGUUUGUAUCUUCUUCUUUUAGUUACUCAUCUGAGUAUGAAGUGAACUACUGCUUGGUAUGUAUUUAGGUAGGUGAGUUUUUCACUUUGGCUCAAAGUAGCGCUGCAGCCCAGCAGAAAGAAUUUGAGGCAUAUAACAUCGGCGAUAGAUCCAUUGAUAGUCCAUUGCUAUUGGAGCAAGAAAUGGUCACAGAUCCAUCAAAGCAAGUUAAGCUGGGCUCUGUCAGUGGUCUGGUUCCAAGAGAAAAAGCAAUCGCUUUCGAGAGGAUUUUGUUCCGUUCAACCAGGGGUAAUGUGUUCCUGACGCAAUCUGUGGUCGAAGAGCCUGUUAUUGAUCCAUUAUCAGGAGAGAAGGUGGAGAAGAACGUAUUUGUUAUAUUUUACUCUGGUGAGAGAGCAAAGAACAAAGUUCUGAAAAUAUGUGAAGCUUUUGGAGCAAACCAAUACUCAUUCACAGAGGAUCUCGGCAAACAAUUUGAGAUGAUCACAGAGG